CCAGAUCCCUCGUACGGCGUUACCGUACUGAACUCCCCCAGGGCAGGAAUGCAGCAAGGGUAGGUCCGCUCUGGCGGGUGUGCGAGGGGUCCUAUUU
rfam:Actinobacteria bacterium BACL15 MAG-120619-bin91 contig02993_1_120619-bin91, whole genome shotgun sequence.